GUAUGCCCUGGUCAUGUUUCCCAUCCUUCUGGUUUGUUCUUUACUGAUACUUUCUGAAUAUCAUCUCUUGUAAUUUAUGUGGGCUGGGGGUCUAGAUGAAGGUGGAGUGCAGUUUAAAUAUUGAAGUAGCAUCCUCCAUACACCCCCCUUUUGGGCUGAUUGUUACCACCCAGUAUAAAGGGAUAAUUCUGGUGCUAACUGUUCUUGAUGAUUAUUGGAAAAGGAAGGAAUUGCUUACUCUCUGGCUGAGUUGUGGCUCUCGCUCCAGCAUCUGUGUGGAAGCAUGCCUGGUUUUUCCAUCUCUCAGCACUGGUCCUUGGGGCCUUUGAACAGCGAUGUAAUGUUUUAUGGCUGGGCCAUUCUAUGAACACUUGCCACAGGAGGCUAUUGGGCAACUGACUAUGGAGAAACUGGACUUUCAAUUUUAUUAAAUAUUCAUUAAGUUAUAUUAAAUGGACACAAAGAGUAGUGGCUACAAUAUGAGACAACACAGCUAGAUAUCUGUAUAUGUUCUUAACUCUGACUUACUUCAUUCUUCCAGAAAGAGGUCUGCAUGACCUGUGGAGGCAGUCACAGCCAGCUCCUUGUACACAGGCUCACUUUGGCUCUCCUUGUAUCUUGUGCAAAUUCUAACUGCUUCAUCUCCAUGUCCAGAUCAGCAGUGGAGGUUCUUGAGAAAAGUCAUGGCUUCAGCUACUGGCACCAACAAGGUGAAAGAGAUCGCCACCUGCUCCAUCUGCCUGAACCUCAUUAUGCACCCAGUAAGCAUCACCUGUGGACACAGCAACAGUCAGUGUGGUUUGAAGCUGCACCUCUGCCAGAUGUCCCAAAAGCAGGGUCAAAAGAGAUUUCCCCGUCCUGAAUGUCGGGAGCCUUUUCAUAAAGAUAGGCUGUGUUCCAACAGGCUACUGGGAACUCUCACUGAAGUUAUACAGGAAAUGGAGGAGACAGAGGAUGAGCUGCUGUGAGGCCCAUGGACAGCAGCUCCAGCUCUUCUGUAAAGAUGACAACCAGCUCAUCAGCUGGCACUGUGAGCGGGGACCACAGCACCAAGGCAUGCCCUGGUGCUGGUAGAGGAUGUGUGCCAGGGGUACAAGGUGAGUAUACAUCCGGGCCUCAGCAGGGACCCACCCUGUGCUGCUUGCAAGACCUGAGCUUAUUGGUCCCAAAGCUAAAAAUGAUGACCCUGAAGCACAGAGAUGGUAUUCUUUUGAAAAAUACCUUGUGAUGGGUCUUUGCUGAAUCCAUAUCUAAGUGUCCCCCUGACAUUUAGCAGGAUGCUCAAACUCCUGUCCCUAUUCUGUGUGUCAUCAUGGACUUCUCCCUGCUCUGGGACAUGCCAACCAAACACCUACCUGGGUUCUGCUUCACACUGUGUGUACUGGAAGGGGAGGAGAUUCUAGAGUUCAGAGUCUUAAUACUUCAGGAAAGUGACUUCCUGGAGCACCUGGCUUUGGUGCUGAGAGAGGAGUGGUUCAUCCCAGAGGUGGCUCCUGAGACACCUCUACUUAGCCCCUGCAGGGUGCCCAGGCACAAGGAUCUGCACAUGCAAAGGCACAGGCAUGGGGUUUCUGAUUCACCUUGGCCAGGUUAUGGGCUGUGUGCAGAGGACAGGCAGCUGGGAACAAGGGAAAGGAAGACAGGCCACAGCAUCUGAGUGGCAGCUCCCAGUCUCAAUCCUAGACCGUAGUAUAUGUAACCUGCCACAGGGGCAUUUCUACAUGCAGAGUAAAGAUUCACUACCAUUGAAAAAAUUAUCCAUGCAGUCUGAAAAUACAAGGAAUAUCCAGUUAGAAUUCAAAUGAUCCCUUCAAGAAAGGAAGCCAGAGGGAAGUUUCAAACAACAUUCUAGAGGGGUGAUAGAUUUAGGAAGUGAUGGACGUUGAAGAUGAGUGGAGACAGUGGUUUUGAAAGCUCCUAGGUAUCCACCGAGAGCUUGCAGGGGACUGGCCUGUGCAGUGGUGAAGGAAGGAGCCAGUUCUGCUUCACUGGCUCUGAGCCCUGUUAGAGCUCAAAAGCAUGGCUGAGCUUGGGCUCCUGGUUCUCUCCUUUGUGAUAGAGAGCUGAGGUCCUAUGAAAGAUCCAAUGCCUUCCUAAGGUCACAUCAGUCCUGACCUCGACUCAGCACACAGUGCUUCCUUAGACUCUAUGGAGCUUCGAAUGCCUGUAACAGGGGUGCUCCUGUUUGAGUUUCUCUGCCACCCCCAGUGGGGACAGGAGCAACACAGGAUCAUGGUUGUCAGCCUCAGAGGCAGACAGCUGAGGUUGAAAUCUUAGCUCUUGUGUUACUAGAAGGACAGUUUGAGGUAAGUUAUUAAGUGUCUUCAGGGCUUGGUUUUCCCAAGGAAUAAAAGCAUUCCCCUCCCUCCCUAACACACAUGUCCAGGGAGUGCAUGAGUUGUAAGGAUAUUAUCACAUGUAGAGCUUAGAAUAACAUGUGGCUGGUAGCCAGAGCAAGGCAGUCUCCUAAAUCAGUUUGGUUGAUAGCUUUCCUGAGAGCGUGAGAGAAUUCAUGCAUGUCCUUGUGGGGCUUACAAAAGAAGAGCCAUUGCUUUUGACGAUGAAUAAUUGGUGUUCACCUCAACUUGCUUUCAAGGAAAGUUUGAGAGAUUGCUUUGAAAGAUUGGCUAAAAUUUAACAUGGGCACUAAGACGUUUUAAAUUGGAUUCAUGAUUCUGUCUUCACUGCACUCUGGAACUCUUCAAUGGGUGUUACCUGCUUCUAAUAACUUCAGUUGUCAUCCUGCUCUUUCCUUUCUGACUCACCCACAAUACUAACAAAGUUAGAGGUCUCAAACAUCAUGGAAGUGGUUAUUUUUGGUUCAGCACAUUAAUGUAUAAGAUUUUGUUUUGAUGAUGGUCGUAUCUGUUUGUAAUUUUCCCUUGGCCCUAGUGUGGUGGGGCACAUGGCAUAGCCCCUGGUCAGCAUGGGGCAUGAGAAUGGCAGCCCAUUUGCCUACCAGGUAUUCUCCCAUGGCAGUUAUUCAACCUCUUCAGAGGCUCCUUUUCCACAGUAGAAAGGAUAUUCAAAUCCUUACUAACUGUUCAGUGUUGGUGAGGGGAUCUGUACGUCACAGCCCCUGCAGCAUGCAAGAGUCUCUCGGGCAAACCUAAGAACUCAGUUAAUAUUCACAGUUAUUUUAGUACAUCUUGGAUGCUGGAAUUUCCAUUAGGUGUCCCAGAAGAAUCAAAUUGGGUAGACUUUAUUCACCCAAUUUUUCCUUCAGGAAAAUCUAGAACAAGCUCCCAGAAAGUUGAAUCAACUCAAGAGGAAUGCGUGAAUCAAAAAUGUUUAUAACAAUCCAGAUAAUGGAAGGUAAGAAUCUGAUUCCUGAACCUUGAAAUAUUUUGCAUUCUGGAGUUUAGGGACAGAGGAUGAUUGGGAAAGACAAAACACAAGGAUGGUUUAUUCUCACUGCACCUAGCCAGGCCCUUCAAACCAAAAGUGCAGAGUCUGAUUCUCAGCUUUACACCCCUUAAGGGCAUUCAGUAAAUAAGCCCCUUCUUGGUUGGGAUUCAUGAGGCCAAUGAAGGAAAUUAACUUGUGUUAUAAAGGACAACAUCGAUGCUGCUAGAAACCAUACACUUGGCCCUGCAGACUGAAGGCUUUCAGAGCUUUCCUGUGGCUCACCAAGCUCCACGUUACCAGAGAAACACUCCUUUUGCAACAUGUCUCUGUGAUCCUUUAGCCUACAGUCCAUGUUCACAGGCCAGUUAGCCAGUCUGCCUGUUUCAAGGUCCACCCUCUGCCUCCUUUGUGUGUCGAGGUUGAUCUCUAGCUUUCAGAGGAUCAUCUUAUUUCCCUCUUUUUGGGGAUCUUUGGCAGGGGGAAGACUUUGACUGUAGCUGGCACAUGGGAAAAGCCUCAAUACAAAAGGCAAAUGUGUACCAAGUUCUUAAACAAAAUGUUCACUUCAUCCUAAUCAAUGACCUCCUGUCACAGUAUAAUUGCCAUUGAAAUUCUGUAUUAAUUAAUUCUGGGAGCACUCCCAGAAACAGAUAGGCCUACACCUAAUCAUAGGAGAGCUAUGUCAUUUAUUUCCUUUGUCUUAUACAUAGGGAUUAUGAAGGUGACCCUGGGAAGGUGGGUGAGCACUUGUCCAUUAACCAUGACACGACAUGCCACAACUGCCCACCUACACCUCUAAGAAUCAAGAGGUGCUCCUACCAAAUAAACUUUAUUAAAAUGUACUCUUCUUGAUGUUCUUAACUAGCUUUUGCUAUAACGGAUUUCCUCAAACUCUAAUAUACUUCUUGCAUCCCAAACAAAAACUUGUUUUUACACAUCCCUAGUUCAAUAAGUAAAUUACCUGUACACUUAUGCACUCCUCUCCUGCGUUUAGCUACAUAAAAAGACAUUAAUCAUGUUCCAUAAAUAAAUAGCAUAGUGCUCCUGUCCACUUUCCUCUUGUAUUUGUCUGCAUGAGGAGUUUUAUCAGUCAACUAUUGAGAAGUCAGAAACAAUCUCUCACACAUCUGAGUGCCAGCAGGAACCUUAGGAGUUUCUUCUUGCUCUAGUGACUCAUGGGAAAUUUAUAUCACAGUGUCUGAUUAUACUUUAUUUUUUAUGAGUAGAAAAAUAUAAAUAAUAUACACUGUGUCAUUUUUAUUAAGUAUACAACUCAAUGGUAGUGAGUACUUUCACAGUGUUAUAAAAACAUUGCCAUAACCAUCUCCAGAAGUUUUCAUGUUCCAAAAUGAAACUGUGUCCCCAGAACAGCAACUCCCAUUCUCCAUUUCUCCCACUACCUAGUAACCACAAUUACGCUUUCUGUCUUUGUCAAUAUAACUACUGGACCUUCCUGAUAGAAGUUUAAUCUACAAUGUUUGUCCCCUUGUUCCUGGUUUGUAUAUUUUAGUAGAAAGUCUUCAAGGUUCACCUUUGUAGAAAGGAGUAGAUUUCCAUUCUUUUUGCAACUGGGUAAGACUCCAUGGUAUCUGUAUAGCAAUUUUGUGUAUGCAUUCAUGCAGGUGUAGAGACUUGGUUUGUUUGUAGUUCUGAUCAUAUUUUCUUGACUCUAGGAUAAGACAGAGAUUCAGAGACAGAAAAAUCAAGUCUGAAUUUAAGAAUCUCCACACUUUUCUGCACAGUGAGAGGGAUUCUUAUCUGUGGAGGCUGGAGAAAGAAGAGCAGAUGCUGAUGAGCCUGAGGGAGAAUGAGGCCAACUUGGAGUGGAAGAACCAUGAACUCAAGAGCCACCUCCUGGAACUAGAGGCAAAAUGUCAGAGCUCAGCCCAGAAACUGGCGCAGGACUUGUGCUGUGAAGCUGGAAGCACCUGAGGCCUUUUCCUUGGAGGUUCAGACUGUGUUUGGUGCUGCUGAACUUUACAGGAAUAUGAAGAUGAAGUUAAUGGGUUAUCAAGCGACCUCAUCAAAAGAGAAUAGGAAGGGGAAACUAUCUCCCUAACAGACUUUCUGGAUGACAGCAGAGGCAUUGAUAGAGGAAGAAGCACUUAUGGCCUCAAAUCAAUCAGCUGGGCUGAUGAAACAGAUGACUGGGAAGAGGAUGUUUCAGCCAGAUGGCAGAGUGGGGAUGAGGAUGUGUAUGGGGUUCCUGGAACUGACCAUGUUGUCCUUGCCACCGCUCCAUGUGCUGCUCAGGAACCCAGUGUCGACUGGAGCUGUCUGCCCAAGUCUCUGCCCUACCCUGCUUUUCUUGGGAACCUUCCCAAAGAUCUGAUCAAAGAUUUGGUUAAGAACUUCUUUAGAGGAUUAAAUAUCAGGGUGGUGCAUUUACCAUGUGACCCCUGCAAUCCAAAAAGGUAGAAAGGUUUUGGUUCUGUUCAGUUUGGGAACUUGGAUUCCCUGCUCUGUGCCCUGAGUCUCAAUAAACUGUGUCUAGGCAAAAGAAUAGUUCGAGUUGGAUUAGCUGAUCAAGCAUAGCAAGACAGCACAUAGGAGCCUGACAAAACAGACACAGACUGGAGGGCCCGACCUGCCACAGACAGCUUUGAUGAUGACAGCCCACCCAGAAGCAGUGAUGAUGGCUUUGGAUGCAAGUAUCAAGACUGUUAUGAUUCAGAUAGUGGUGGGUAUCAGAAUGGCCUAUCCUGGCCUAUGAAUCCAUAUAGGAGCCGGGAUCAUUAGGGCCACCAAGGCAGCAGAGACUCUGAUAGAGACUGUGAUUCCAGAAUAGGCAAUGGCAGAAGAGCCCUCCAUAGUGAGUGCCAUAGAGAUAAUUACUACAAAGGAGGUGGAGACCAUGGUGAUGACCCAUAUGCUGACAGCUCAUGGGGCUCCAGAGAUGAUUACUAAGACAAUUCUUGGUGCAAUUGUAGAGGUCUGCCCCACAGACCCAGACUGAAUCUGAAACCUGGGAGUACUCCUAAGGAAAACGAUUCUUCCACCACCCCCUUCCAGCCCAGUCGAGCACCUUCCAUCUUUAGAGGGGUAAAGCCUGUUGACACAGCUGCUAGGGAAAGAGAAGUGGAGGAAUGGAUGCAGAAGGAGCAGGAGAGAUCUUCGUGGGGGCCAGAUAAUCCAAAACUAGAAUGGCGGUCAGGCUGGCAAAGGGAAGAAACUCAGGUAUAGGAAGGAAAAGUGAAUCACUGAAGACUGGAACCUCAGGCCCACCUGGCAAAAAUGCAUAAAGAAGAAAAAGAAGUCUCUAGAAAAUCAAAUACUCGGUAAGGUGGAAGAUUGUCACUCUUCAAUUUCUAAGCUUCCCCAAAGGUGAUCAGCUUCUAAAGGUAAUGCCAGCCACCCCACCAAAGGAGAAUGGGUGGUAAAGCACCAUCCUGCUCCAUCUCAGAGCUCUGGCACAGAGCAGAAAUCUCCUAGAGAUGGUAGUGGCUUGGAAGGUAGCUCCAACUCAGCCACCUGAAGAAAGACCAAUAAGGAAAAUUGCAAAUAAAAUGGAUGGGGUGUGUAUCCAAAAAGGCUAACCUGAGAACUCCUGUCAUAAUUCAGGAGACAGAGAAAAAAAAAAUCACUAGAAGGAGGUAGAUAGGAAGGAGGGCAAAGAGAAUCAAGACUCCAGCUCUGCACUUGUGCAAAGGAAAACAGGAAAAUCCAGCCUCCAAGUUCAGUUCUGCAAGCAGGUAAGCUGCUCUCUCCAUGAGUGGUGAAGAUGGAAACGAG
rnacentral:lncRNA from 1 species